UGAGGAAUAUUGGUCAAUGGGCGGAAGCCUGAACCAGCCAAGUCGCGUGAGGGAUGAAUGGUCUAUGGCCUGUAAACCUCUUUUGAAAGGGAAGAAUAAGUGGCACGUGUGCCAUGAUGCCAGUACCUUUCGAAUAAGCAUCGGCUAACUCCGUGCCAGCAGCCGCGGUAACACGGGGGAUGCGAGCGUUGUCCGGAUUUAUUGGGUUUAAAGGGUGCGUAGGCGGCAUGGUAAGUCAGCGGUCAAAUCGAGGGGCUCAAACCCCUUUCCGUCCGUUGAAACAUGCCGUGCUUGAGUGGGCGAGAAGUACGCGGAAUGCGUGGUGUAGCGGUGAAAAUGCAUAGAUAUCACGCAGAACUCCGAUUGCGAAGGCAGCUUACUAAACCAUAACUGACACUGAAGCACGAAAAGCGUGGGGAUCAAACAGGAUUAGAUACC
rnacentral:rRNA from 1 species